rnacentral:rRNA from 1 species
UACGUAGGGUGCAAGCGUUGUCCGGAAUUAUUGGGCGUAAAGAGCUCGUAGGCGGUCUGUCGCGUCUGCUGUGAAAACUCGGGGCUUAACCCCGGGCCUGCAGUGGGUACGGGCAGACUAGAGUGCGGUAGGGGAGACUGGAAUUCCUGGUGUAGCGGUGAAAUGCGUAGAUAUCUGGAGGAACACCGGUGGCGAAGGCGACGUCCUGGACCGGCAUUGACGCUGAGGCGCGAAAGCCAGGGGAGCAAACGGG